GUAGGGUGCGAGCGUUAAUCGGAAUUACUGGGCGUAAAGCGUGCGCAGGCGGUGAUGUAAGACAGAUGUGAAAUCCCCGGGCUCAACCUGGGACCUGCAUUUGUGACUGCAUCGCUAGAGUACGGUAGAGGGGGAUGGAAUUCCGCGUGUAGCAGUGAAAUGCGUAGAUAUGCGGAGGAACACCGAUGGCGAAGGCAAUCCCCUGGACCUGUACUGACGCUCAUGCACGAAAGCGUGGGGAGCAAACAGGAUUAGAUACCCUGGUAGUCCACGCCCUAAACGAUGUCAACUGGUUGUUGGGUCUUCACUGACUCAGUAACGAAGCUAACGCGUGAAGUUGACCGCCUGGGGAGUACGGCCGCAAGGUUG
rnacentral:rRNA from 1 species